rnacentral:lncRNA from 1 species
CUCUGGGCCCGGCCCUCCAGCCAGUUCCUUACCCAGCAAAGAAUGUGUCUGUCCAAGCCACGAUCUGCCAGCUUCUGGAGGAGAAUACUGUGCGAGACAGUGUCAAAGGCUUUGCUGAAGUCUAGGUAGACCACAUCAACAGCCUUUCCCUCAUCCAGCAGACGGGUCACUGGAUCAUAGAAGGAGAUCAGACAAUCUGCUCCAUAAUCUUCCCCGGCACCGAGGUCAGGCUAACAGGCCUGUAGUUCCCCGGAUCCUCCCUGCAGCCCUUCUUGUAGAUGGGAUUCACAUUGGCAAGCCUCCAGACUUCUGGGACCUCACCCGUCAACAAGGAGCGCUGAUAGAUGAUGGAAAGCGGCUCGGCUAUCACCUCUGCCAGUUCUCUCAGCGCUCUCGGGUGAAUCUCAUCCGGUCCCAUGGACUUGUGGCAGUCCAGUUGGAGUAGCAGGUCUCUAACUGUUACCUCCUGAAUCGUGGGGGGUUUAGCAGAGCUGAGGUGCUGCUCGUAGCCGCUGCCCUCGGGAUCAUUCCCCGUCCGGUGGGGAUCAGUGGUGAUCCUUCCCACCCUUGGGGUCUCUGUGCCUCUCUGCACCCAACCUAUCCUUGCUGGGAGGAGUGUUCCGUGCCCCCCACACCGGUGGUGCUCCCAUCGCGGCCCUCGACCGC